CGGCUCUCUUCCAGAGAAAAAUCGGCCUCUGGGAAGUUUGUUGGGAAGACUGCACUGACAGAAACAGAAACCUAUUCUACUUAUACAAGUACAAUCUACUGUCUUGCGGCCAAUUCUGUAGAGAAGAAGUUCAAGGCUUCGGAUAUAAUGGAACAAGCUCAGAAAGCAGUAAUGCAUAUGGCCAUAGCAGUGUGCUGCUUUGUGGUUCUGAUCUACAUGGCUUACAUGAGUGUCAUCACAGUGUGCAGGUUUAAAGUUGACAAGAAGAAGGCUGAAUUAAAACACUACAGGAUACCUGAAGAAGACUUGUUUUGGUACGGCAGAUGGGGCGGGGCUAUUGGAGGUUUUUGUGCAAUGUUGAUGCUCCCACACAAAACCUCAAAAUUAAAGAGAGAAUUUUUUGUUCGCUAUAGAAGAUUGUUUGCGUUGAAUGUGUUGGUGGUGCUAGUUCUUGUAGCUGUUCUCUUAGCUCUUGUGCUGAGGUGAUGGUGAUAGCGAACGUGAAAUAAACUGCUGUGUUUCUCCAUAGAUGAAUAUUGGCAGUGCUUUUGUAUAUAGCUUUUUAUAGAACUUUCAAAUCCUGUAUAUAUAAUAUAGCCGGUAAUUUUAAUUUGUGUUAGAAAAAAAAUUUUUUCAAUUGG